CCCAAACGAUAUAGCAACUGUAACCAGUCUACGUGGCAUUAGGUUUUCUCUUCCCUUCUUCCUCUUCCGGCAGAGACCUCACCGACGAUAUUCCAGAGAAAGUAGACGCCUUUAAUUCGUUCUUUAUUUUGAGUUUACCCUUAAUUAAUCCACUCCGCUCACUUAAAGAUUUCUAUCUACCUCUUCGUUUCCACUGUAACCGCCUGGAGCUCCAGCUAUUAAUAUCGGACCUUCCUAGCAUGCACAGUCCAAAUCAAACGAUAUCCAGAAACAUACAAUUUCCUAGCAGCAACAGAUUCCGGUGGCAAAUUCAUACACUCUCCUUGCCGAUUUGAGAGCCGGCCGAUGGUGAGAGACAAAGAAUAUCAAAACUGAUUCCUUUGUUAGCAUAUCAUAUGAAAAAUGAGGAAUUUAAUUACAUGACACGGCAUACAAAUAAGGCAUUAUUGAAGUGGGGACAAUCAUUGCAAGCUACACGAUGAAGCGAAAAGCAAGCCCUUUGAAUAGGAGAUGCGCAUGAUAUGUGAGGAGUCAAAUGGGAGGACGAAUGGUGGUUAAAGAAAUGAUGUGCUAAAGUUCCCGUAAACCUUAAAAUUGAUAUUAUAGCCAAGGUUGAUGCAACAUACUUACUUGGCUAUAAUAUAGCAACCUCGAGAUUGCUCUAUGGAAGAAUUUGAGGUUUCCAAGUUCUUGAGAUGUUAAAACCCAUUAUGUAUUACAAUCCAUGUAGCAAUAUUAGCAGCCAAGUGGUCUCUUCAAGUCCUUAGUAACAAUGCAUGGCUCUUAGCUCGCAAAUGCCCUCAAGAUGUAGAAAAAGACUAGCCUUUUUUUAUGGGAAGAGAACAGUUCGAGUCUGUGAUGUGUACGAUCAUGGAAGGCAAAGAGAGGGUCGAUGACUUUCGAUCGUGCCUCUCUGCACGUGUCGCUCCACAUUAAUUUUGUUUUGUAUGGUUUGCAUCAUGUGAAAUGGGCCAUGUGUUGUGUCUGAAUAUCUAUUGAGCUCUUAGGUUCUUUUGCUUAAAGAUCCAGAUGUUAAUAGGGUUUCUGCUAUUUUGAUAUUGGAAAUACCAAGCAGAAAACAAACGUACC